CGGGUUGUCAUGCCAAUGGCACGUCCCGGUAGCUAAAUGCGGAAGAGAUAAGUGCUGAAAGCAUCUAAGCACGAAACUUGCCCCGAGAUGAGUUCUCCCUGACCCUUUAAGGGUCCUGAAGGAACGUUGAAGACGACGACGUUGAUAGGCCGGGUGUGUAAGCGCAGCGAUGCGUUGAGCUAACCGGUACUAAUGAACCGUGAGGCUUAACCUUAC
rnacentral:rRNA from 1 species